UUCCUAGUUUUAACUGCACCAAGCAAUACUGGAAACAAAUCUACUGUUAAGCUUGUUCAAUAAUUCCCAGUAUAUAACCUUGCUUUGAGAUGCUUAUAACUUUGAACAAACCAUUUUGUUCUGACUAACAUUAUUGUUCAGCCUGUUCCAGGGUGAGGUUUUUCUUUAAAAGUAAAUAAAGUGGAAACUUAUAAUUCAGUCUUUCUUUGGUGCAAAAGUACAGGAGAAAGUGAAAAAUUAUGUGAGAAAAAAACUGUAUUUAAUCUGAUUUUUAAAAAGGCAGGAUUUUGUGCAUGGAAAAAGUUCUAAAUUAAAGGUCUUUAUACAAUUGGUCCGCUAGAAUUCUCUAAUUUUAGGAUUCCUUUCCAAACUAUGCUUAGUGUGUCUUUAAAAUACAGAAAACUAUUUGCAUUCCAUUAUACUUUGUGGAGUUUCAGCUUGGCAACACUUCCCUAAGAACCUUUCUGCCUUUUAGCUGUAGUUAGCUGUCUUUUAGCUGAUUUCAGUCUGUUUCACUUAUUGCAUGUCUGGUUUUGGCAUUCAGUGGGAUGGGUGGAUGUCAGUUCUGGCCCUGCAUAGGAAUCGUUUAGAGUGAGGCUGCAAUGCAACAGCUCUGCCAGAUACACAUAGACAGCAGGGACUAGAAUGCCUUUCUCCCAGCACAGACAUGAACACUUUAGAUACUGUCUUAAGUAGAGACAAUGAAAUGAUAGGUACCCACAGAAGGAUCUCUGCCACCCACUCUUCAGAUGCUGUCAGCUCCGAGAACAAGAAUGCUCAGUGGAGGUACUAAGCUACUUGAAAAGUAACUCAUGAGAGGAGUGAUAGAGGGCCUUGGUAGGGGCCUGUUGUCCAGCCAAGGGCAAAUCAUUUCACCACAGUUACAGACACCUGAACCUUUCCAGUCCUCAGGCACUCAUCAUGAAUGGAAACAAAAUUUCAUCUGCUAAUGAUAGAGGAAAAUUAUAUGAAAGAUUGCCUUUAUGACACUGAAAAAGAAGGAGAGUAUGAAUCGAAAGAAAAUUACUCCUUUUUGGAGCACGGCCCAUGCUCCGUGCAAGUCCUUGUACCAGGUGGGAAGUACAGAAGCUGGAUUUGCUUGGAAGUCUUGGCUUUGUCUCUACCUGGCAUAAGCCAGUAUUGCUGGCAAAAGGAGGGCAGAAACCCCACGAGAAACUUAGAAUGAGGCAGAGAAAGUAGAAGAGAGUGAAGCUGAGCCCAAGAAGAAGGGGAGCAUGGUUUCAUUUUUCAGCUGUCACUGACACCUGUAUGAAGUGAAAUGGCUCUCACAAGGUAAAAGGCAGCCCAAAGGUACAUUCACCUUGUUAACAGCCACAAUCACACAUGUUGGCACAGUGUGGGUCUCUACCACCAUCUCAUUUCAUGUAAAAUUAAGAUUAGUGUAAAAAACAAAAAAAUCUCAAGUGGUCAUUAUAAUCAACUUUAUAUACUUAUUGUUAAAGCACUUCAGGAAUAAAAAGUUGAUAAGUUUUAGCCUGGACUGGUAUUUCCCCAUUUACUACCUGGUAAUUUGAGGGUUUAAGCUUCUUUUAGACCUAGUGCCUGAAGGCAUGAUUGCCAAAACCUCUCAUUUUGCUACCCAGAGACACUCAUACCCUUUAAAAAGCAGUCAGCUUUUUAAAUCAGCUUUUGACUGAUUAAGGAUAACAGCAAGUUAAAGUAGAAAAAAACUCUGCAGGCCACACUUAAUUCAUCUCAAGGGCCUGGUUGUAGCUGUGGCUCAAAGCAUUAAAUGCUUUAUCAUCUACUGGUGGCUCGAGGGCCACCACAGCCAAGUCUUCUGUGCCAAGACUGAGCAGGAGCUGAGAUGAGCUGAUGACAUUUAGCUGCCCCAGGCCCUCAUGGUGGGGGGGGUUGGCUUAACCCAUUCAUGGGUGGAGGUUUACACAAGAUUACUGGGUCUGGCAAACAUUUGAGUUUGAACCCAGCGCUUCAUAAAUAUAAGAUUGUACACUUAUUUAGUGACAACCAGGUUCACAAUUCUUCUUUGUUUUUUAACUCGGUUCACAAGAUAAUGUCACCUUUUGGUGUACACAGUCAUGUUUUACUCUGGUAGUAAAACAAAGCCGGCAGUAUAUUGGAGAAUGGAUCUAGGAUGCUUAAGUUUUUUCCCCUUUCUGGGUUACAAGAGUGUGUUGGGAUUUUCUUAGUUGGGAGAUAUUUGCUUUUUUCUUAGUGAUGAUCUCCACUGAACAAACAAAAUAUUAUCUUUGAACAACUACUCCAUUAUCUGUUGCAUAUGCAAUUAUCUGUCUUGAUAGAUAAGGGACAGAAAAAGUUAACAAAAUUAUCACUUAACAGGUAGGGUUGGCCAAAAUAUUGUGGCCUAAAUGUCAGGAGAAAUGCAAUGGUUUUGCACACAAAUACAGAUUUAGAGGUUGCAUAUUUCGUAAAUCAAACUGUACAAGAUUUUUCAGAAUUUUACAGAAAAUUAAAUAAAUAUGCUUUAAUCAAAUCAUGCUGGUUUCAGAAAACUGAGCUCCUUUUUUUCUACUGUGGGGAAGAAAUUCAGGACAGACUCUGUCCUGGAAUAAUUUGCAUAGAUAUCAUUUUCCUGUGUGUAUAUAAAUAACUCAGUUACAUACCCUUUCAGAAAUAUCCAGGUCUACCUUUGUUUAAGAUCAGUGUAGGCAAUAUAUAAGGAAUUGUGGAAAACAUUUGCCCUUCAACACAGCUAAGCCUGGGUGGAUCCAAGUUCAUCUGAGGUCUAUGCUCUGAGCAUAGAAGAGUUGGAGAGAAGUAGGAUUUCUCACCGAAGUCUGAAGAAAACCAUGGCUAUGAAGACUGGACUGAAGCCAGUCUCCAUUCCCCCUUCAAGUGAGGACUCUGUGCAGGCAAGAAUAAGUGGGCAAUGGAGGCAGAAAAGAAACCUGGCAGCUGAUGGUUAGAGAAUUUAUUUAGAACAGGAGACACAUAGACUCUGGCACAACUCUCAAAUUUUUGUCAGCUAGUACCUUCAGUUCAUGUGUGCUUUACAGUGCCAGAGAAAAACUGUUACUGACAAGCUCGUGUUUUAAAAGAAAGCAACAAGAUGUAAACAAUUUAUUAUAAAAAAAUUAAAUACUGAGUGAAAUGAACUCUUUCUCAUAAGAAAUAAAAACAUAAAAAAUACCUCAUAGAGUAUUGUUUGCAAAAUAAUCCGUGCAAUUAGAUCAGAAAAAUACUACCUGCAUUUACUAACACCAAUAUUUUUGAACUGAAGAAAUUACUGGAGAAACAAAUAAGCAAAGAAACAAGACAGAUUAAUUAUAUAAUUGAUCUAAUGCAACCUUCUGAGGAAUAAUUGAUAUGCUCUCAUUACCAUAACAACUAAUUCACAUGACAAAACUGAUACAUGACACCUUCUUAGAAGCCAGUUGAAAAUCACUACUAAUCAUGCCAUUCUGCAUUAUGGCAAAUCGGAUGAAUAAAAGCCUAUUUGUAAAGCAUUUAAUAUCGUCAUUUUUCAUAGUUCCUUGAAUGGAAUACUAAUGGACAUCACAGUUAAGAGUGAAAUGUCUCUGAAAAGAAGAAAGAAGUCCCAUCAUAAUACAAGAUUCA